GAUGAACGCUGACAGAAUGCUUAACACAUGCAAGUCUUUGGCGAAGCUGUGCUUGCACAGCCUAGCCAAGGCGGACGGGUGAGUAACGCGUAAGGAACUUGCCCUGCAGUCAGGGAUAACAGACGGAAACGACUGAUAAGACCUGGUAAAGUCAGGCGGACUCAUGUCCAGCCUGAUGAAAAGAGAUGCUGCAGGAGAGCCUUGCGUCCUAUUAGCUUGUUGGUGGGGUAACGGCCCGCCAAGGCGAUGAUAGGUAGCCGGCCUGAGAGGGUGGACGGCCACAAGGGGACUGAGAUACGGCCCUUACUCCUACGGGAGGCAGCAGUGGGGAAUAUUGGACAAUGGGGGCAACCCUGAUCCAGCAAUUCUGUGUGCACGAUGAAGGUUUUCGGAUUGUAAAGUGCUUUCAGCAGGGAAGAAAAAAAUGACGGUACCUGCAGAAGAAGCGACGGCUAAAUACGUG
rnacentral:rRNA from 1 species